GCUUACCUCUGCAAAAUGUGUGAAUGCCUCCAACGCGUGCUGAUGAAUCAGCCAGGUCUGGUCAGCUAGCAGCAAAGCAAACAAACACGACAACUGGGGUACAACUUGCCUCUGAAAGAGGAACAAAUAUCUAUCAGUUCCACAGAGUUAGUUGUGCAUAUCUUACCAUCAUGAUUUAUUAUUAAAGAAUCGCUCUAAGGUCAAGGGACAGGUUUGUGAAAUGCAAGACAACAAGCAAAUGAAUAAACCAAGCAUCUUGCAUGCACUCAGCAUGUCUCAAUGAAAAAUAAAACUGCCAUAGACCAUUAAUAAUCCUCCAAGAUGAUUAUGCCCUGGCACUCCUGUAUAUAUUUAAUGAACUUGAUCCUUUAACUUUAUAUUUAAAUAAAUAGCAUAUCUUUUCAUCAAAA